AUACGUAGGGGGCAAGCGUUAUCCGGAUUUACUGGGUGUAAAGGGAGCGUAGACGGAAGGCCAAGUCUGAUGUGAAAGCCCGCGGCUCAACUGCGGGACUGCAUUGGAAACUGGUCAUCUGGAGUGCAGGAGGGGUAAGCGGAAUUCCUAGUGUAGCGGUGAAAUGCGUAGAGAUCGGGAGGAACACCAGUGGCGAAGGCGGGUAACUGGACUGCAACUGACGCUGAGGCGCGAAAGUGUGGGGAGCAAACAGGAUUAGAUACCCUGGUAGUCCACACUGUAAACGAUGAAUGCUAGGUGUAAGAGGUAUCGACCCCUUUUGUGCCGGAGUCAACACAAUAAGCAUUCCGCCUGGGGAGUACGGCCGCAAGGUUGAAACUCAAAGGAAUUGACGGGG
rnacentral:rRNA from 1 species